rnacentral:rRNA from 1 species
CUUUUUCGCAGUGUAGCGGACUGCGAAGGUUAUGACGGAUACGGGGAGUUAGGGCUCGACUCCGGAGAGGGAGCCUUAGAAACGGCUACCACUUCUAAGGAAGGCAGCAGGCGCGUAAUUUACCCAAUUAGCAAAGCUAGAGGUAGUGACGACCAAUAAAUAAGAGUUUGGGUUUAUCUCAGACUCUAUAUGAAUGAGUACAAUGUAAAAAACUUAACAAGGAUCAAUUGGAGGGCAAGUCUGGUGCCAGCAGCCGCGGUAAUUCCAGCUCCAAUAGCGUAUAUUAUAGUUGUUGCAGUUAAAAAGUUCGUAGUUGGAUUUGAAGAGAGGGAAAUAUUGGUAGUGAGUGAUAAUUAAAAUUAUCAUUCAUUACUAUCCUUCUCAACCUAAAAGGUUGAAGAUUAUAAAUAGACAAUAUUCAUAAUUUUCCUUUACUUUGUAUUUAAUCCUAAUCGUUCAAAGUAAGGUCACAUUAGUUGU